rnacentral:rRNA from 1 species
GCUUGCGGGGGGAUCAGUGGCGAACGGGUGAGUAACACGUGGGCAACCUGCCCUCAGCUCUGGGAUAACUCCAAGAAAUUGGGGCUAAUACCGGAUAUGACCGCUGACCGCAUGGUCUGGUGGUGGAAAGAUUUAUCGGCUGGGGAUGGGCCCGCGGCCUAUCAGCUUGUUGGUGGGGUAGUGGCCUACCAAGGCGACGACGGGUAGCCGGCCUGAGAGGGUGACCGGCCACACUGGGACUGAGACACGGCCCAGACUCCUACGGGAGGCAGCAGUGGGGAAUAUUGCGCAAUGGGCGAAAGCCUGACGCAGCGACGCCGCGUGGGGGAUGACGGCCUUCGGGUUGUAAACCUCUUUCAGCAGGGACGAAGCGAAAGUGACGGUACCUGCAGAAGAAGCACCGGCCAACUACGUGCCAGCAGCCGCGGUAAUACGUAGGGUGCAAGCGUUGUCCGGAAUUAUUGGGCGUAAAGAGCUCGUAGGCGGUUUGUUGCGUCGGCUGUGAAAACCUGAGGCUCAACCUCAGGCCUGCAGUCGAUACGAGCAGACUAGAGUGUUGCAGGGGAGACUGGAAUUCCUGGUGUAGCGGUGAAAUGCGCAGAUAUCAGGAGGAACACCGGUGGCGAAGGCGGGUCUCUGGGCAACAACUGACGCUGAGGAGCGAAAGCGUGGGGAGCGAACAGGAUUAGAUACCCUGGUAGUCCACGCCGUAAACGUUGGGCGCUAGGUGUGGGGCUCAUUCCACGAGUUCCGUGCCGCAGCUAACGCAUUAAGCGCCCCGCCUGGGGAGUAC